GGAGAUCACAACAGGGAUCGGUUCAUCAUCAUUCGGUUUUGAAAACUUGUAUCGCCACCGGAGCUCGUCGGCGCAAACCCGCAACGUACCGGAAUUACGAAGGCAUCGUCGGAACGCGAAUCGAACCGUUUAGUUUUGUUCGCUUCAUAUCAUGUUUCUGGAUAACCGUUUCGUUCGUUCGGUUCCACAAUCUAUACUCGUGCGUCAUUUUACAAGGAUUCGUAAACGCAACCACUGUGAGUAG
rnacentral:lncRNA from 1 species